CACGUAGGGGGCGAGCGUUGUCCGGAUUUAUUGGGCGUAAAGAGCUCGUAGGUGGUUCGGUAAGUCGGGUGUGAAAACUCUGGGCUCAACUCAGAGACGCCACCCGAUACUGCUGUGACUCGAGUCUGGUAGGGGAGUGUGGAAUUCCCAGUGUAGCGGUGAAAUGCGCAGAUAUUGGGAGGAACACCAGUGGCGAAGGCGGCACUCUGGGCCAGUACUGACACUGAGGAGCGAAAGCGUGGGUAGCGAACAGG
rnacentral:rRNA from 1 species